rnacentral:rRNA from 1 species
UACGUAGGGUGCGAGCGUUGUCCGGAAUUACUGGGCGUAAAGGGUGCGUAGGCGGUUUGGUAAGUCUUAUGUGAAAUCUACAGGCUCAACUUGUAGUCUGCAUGAGAAACUGCCGGGCUUGAGUAUGGGAGAGGUGAGUGGAAUUCCUGGUGUAGCGGUGAAAUGCGUAGAUAUCAGGAGGAACACCUGUGGCGAAAGCGGCUCACUGGACCAUAACUGACGCUGAUGCACGAAAGCUAGGGGAGCAAACAGG